UACGAAGGGGGCUAGCGUUGCUCGGAAUCACUGGGCGUAAAGGGUGCGUAGGCGGGUUUUUAAGUCAGGGGUGAAAUCCUGGAGCUCAACUCCAGAACUGCCUUUGAUACUGAAGAUCUUGAGUCCGGGAGAGGUGAGUGGAACUGCGAGUGUAGAGGUGAAAUUCGUAGAUAUUAGGAAGAACACCGGUGGCGAAGGCGGCCCACUGGUCCGGUACUGACGCUGAGGUGCGAAAGCGUGGGGAGCAAACAGG
rnacentral:rRNA from 1 species